UUAUUUUUUUAUUUAUGAUUGUUAUAUUAUCUUUGAAUUUUAAUUAUAACAGGUGUUAGGAACUAUAGUUGAUUGUGAUUAAUUAAAAUAGAUUUUAAAAAAUAUUAUUAUAGAUUUUUUUAAAAAAAUAAAAUUAACUAUUACUGAUGAUAUUAGUGACUGCUAAUAAUAAAAUAUUAUUAUAAUUUUUUAAAAAAUAAAAUUAACUAUUAUCAAUGGU
rnacentral:lncRNA from 1 species